rnacentral:ncRNA from 1 species
GAUAAUAGGCUGAUGACUCCCAAGAGCUCUUAUCGACGGAGUCGUUUGGCACCUCGAUGUUGACUCAUCACAUCCUGGGGUUGAAGAAGGUCCCAAGGGUUUGGUUGUUCGCCGAUGAAAGUGGUACGUCAUCUGAAAUGCAAAGUCCUU